rnacentral:lncRNA from 1 species
GAGCAUCGGAGGGUCCUUGUUGGAGCCACAACUUUCGGUUUGGAAUUGUUUUGUAGGUCACUCUAAUUCCAUCAUCCCUGUGUGAGGCUCAGUCGCCUCAUCUCCGACCUCGAUCGAUAUCGGCAACAACAGAUAAAGGAAGGACCUACAUUCACAUCAAGGCUCAUAGACGAACAUCUUCCUGACUCUCUAACGCCGCCACCUCCCAUUAAGUGAUAGGCC